rnacentral:rRNA from 1 species
AUUGAACGCUGGCGGAAUGCUUUACACAUGCAAGUCGAACGGUAGAGGGGGCAACCCCUCGAGAGUGGCGAACGGGUGAGUAAUAUAUCGGAACGUGCCCAGUCGUGUGGGAUAACGGAGCGAAAGUUACGCUAAUACCUCAUACGAUCUAAGGAUGAAAGCGGGGGAUCGCAAGACCUCGCGCGAUUGGAUCGGCCGAUAGCAGAUUAGGUAGUUGGUGGGGUAAAGGCUCACCAAGCCAACGAUCUUUAGCUGGUCUGAGAGGACGACCAGCCACACUGGAACUGAGACACGGUCCAGACUCCUACAGGAGGCAGCAGUGGGGAAUUUUGGACAAUGGACGCAAGUAUGAUCCAGCCAUUCCGCGUGCAGGAUGAAGGCCCUCGGGUUGUAAACUGCUUUUGUACGGAACGAAAAGGUCUCUCUUAAUACGGGGGGCUCAUGACGGUACCGUAAGAAUAAGCACCGGCUAACUACGUGCCAGCCGCCGCCGUAA